UACGGAGGGAGCUAGCGUUGUUCGGAAUUACUGGGCGUAAAGCGCACGUAGGCGGCUUUGUAAGUUAGAGGUGAAAGCCCGGGGGCUCAACUCCCGGGAACUGCCUUUAAGACUGCAUCGCUUGAAUCCAGGAGAGGUGAGUGGAAUUCCGAGUGUAGAGGUGAAAUUCGUAGAUAUUCGGAAGAACACCGAUGGCGAAGGCAGCCCCCUGGGCUGAGAUUGACCGCUCAUGCACGAAAGCGUGGGGAGCAAACAGG
rnacentral:rRNA from 1 species